AGAGAAAGAGGAGAUGGCGGCGUCGGCGGAGGGAGAGGGUGCGAAGGCGAAGGCGAAGAGGUCGAUGGUGGCGAUCGACGAGAGUGAGUGCAGCAAUUACGCCCUCAGGUGGGCUCUCAGCAACCUCCGCGAAGCCGUCUCCUCUUCCCCUCUCGUCAUCUUCAACGCCCAGCCCUUCGCCACUGCCGGCUACAUGACCGCCGCAGCCUACGGCGCACCUCGUAAGCACGCAAUACAUAAACCGACUACUGUUACUCUUCUCUUCUUCAAAUUAAACUAACAUCCGUCUAAUUAAUAAUCUAUUCUAAUUUUAUACGAUGCAUGAACCCUGAUUUCUUUUCUUUUUUCUUUUUUUCCUUCCAUUUUUCUUUCUUUCUUUUUUCAUUUUUCUUUUACAUUUUAUUUUAUUUUUUAAUAUUAUAUAUUUUAGCCCAUUAAAUCUAAUAAUAAUAUUUUAUUUUAGUCAAUUAUAUUUAGUAAUAAUUUUUUUAAUUAAUAGGAUAUUGUGUGUGUGUGUGUGUCUAUAUAUAUAUAUAUAUAUAUAAUUUGUGAGCGAAGGAGCGAGCGCUCGGGAGAGGAGAGGAGAGGAGAGGAAGGGGUUGNUUUUUUUUUUUUUUUAUUGAUACAAAAUUAAUUUUUUCUGUCUCCCACGGAUAAUUUCGUCAACAUAGAUGAGAUACCCACGGAUAGAAUUAGAAUCUUAGAUGCCUCUAUGAAGAUUCCGAGACAGGAACCAAUGUUUAUAUUGAUGCAAGAUAAUAAGAUAUAAAGAGUAUUAGUAAGAGAUAUAAAGGAUUCCAAUGAAGUAAAAGAAGUAAUUAUUGAUAUGGAAACGGAAAUAGAUUCCUUUAUACAAAAGUAAAAAGAUUUUUACAUUGAGAACGAAGAUUUGGGUAAUGAGAAAAAAGAUUUCAUUUAUAAACCAGUAUACUCUUUAAACAGUACCGAUGUCUAAAUGAUUUCCAAUAAAAUUUGAACCGAAGAUGUGUGUAAUAUGUACGAAGAUAUAUUGUUACAAAUGUAAAUGUAGAUUGUAAAAAUAGACCUAUAGGAAAUGUAAUAUAUGUACCGUCUCAUAGUUUAAGUGUAAGGAUGAAGGGUUAAUACUAAUGUUAGACAUAAGUAAUUUCAUUUUAAUUGUUUCAAAUUUACUAAAUUACUUAGUUUGGAUUGAUUUAAUACGAGUAAACUAUAAAGGCAAUAUUCUAGUGAAAGAAGUAGACUACUUCUUAGAAGAAAUAGUAUUCAAAGAUAUUAUCUUAUAUAACUAAGACACAGCCUAUAUAUAAAUAGAUGUCGAUUAUUCACAAAAACUCAAAGAAGGUGAUGAUUCCGUAAAGAUAAAGAAGAUAAAACAGAAAAUCUUGUACACAAAACGUUUUACAAGACACGACGGUGUUCAUUUCGUCACAUUAAAUAAAAAUAUAUAGGAUAGGGGGAUUUAAUUUAACUUAUUAAUAUAAAAGAUAAAAUGAGUUAAAUUAAGUUAAUGACUUAAGUUAAUGACUUAAGUUAAUAACUUAAGUUAAUGAGUUAAAUUAACUCAUUUUAUGUUACAUUUUUUUCUUUUUUUCUUUUUCAAACCUCGCUUGGCCAGGCCCCGAAAGUAUACUCCAUAAUUAUAAUAAUAAAAUAAAAUAUAUAUAUAUAUAUAUUUUAAAAUUAAACUUUUUUUUCUUUAUAAAUUAAACUUUUUAAUUUUUUAGUUACCCUCUGUCUUUUCCCUUUUAAAAAAAAUAAACUUUUUAAUUUACUAUUUCUUUACAAAUAUUUUCUCCUCUUUCUUGUAAAAAUACAUAUUAGGUUAGUAAUAAAAGUUUACCCUUUUAAUUUUACCUUGUAAAUUUAGCUCCUUCCAUAUCCUCUUUCCUCUAUAUUUCAAUUUUAACCAUAGAUCUUUCUGUCUUUAUUUUUCUUUAAAUAUCCAAGUUUAAAAAAAAAAAUUUAUAAGCCGCUGUAAGGACUGAGAUUUUGCAGUGUAGCUAAACUCUGUUGACGAUGUUUUUGUGUGUAAUUUAAUUACAAAAGCACUCGUCAAGUUUUGGGAGAAAUCGAGUUAAAACGGAGAUUCUACGCGAUUUCCAAGUUCUACUUAAAGUGAAUAGUAACUUGGUUUUCCGGAGAGCUCAAUGCGUAAAGCUGGCUUCUGGCUCGUAUCGGACUCCGUUCAUAGCGGUCCAAUAGCUCGUUUCGACCGGUUCAGCUGUUCUGGAACUAGUGGCGCUGACGGAUUUUGAGUUUGAUGCACGGAUUUCGAGAAAAUCCAAAAAUACAUGUUUUAUAUGUAAUUGUGCGUAGUUCUUCUAUUGGAGAGUUGGAACGGUUCUUGUCGCGAAUCCGCGACCGAUCGAGAUGAACCAAAAUGGUAGCUUUGUUGUCUCCAUGGUGCUGAUCGCACUGGUGUAAUCCGUUCGCAAAUCUGACGGACGGAUCUGCGGAGAUCGCACGUUGAUCGAGAAGAGGUCGGUGUAGGAAAAACGGUAAUUUCGCAAAAGUCGCGACAUUUUAUGUACCGUUUUGCGUGAGAUCGCACGUGGAAGGGUGUUCUCGCGUUUCACACGCGCUGUGAGGGACUCAGUAUCAAAUACUGAAGUUUGAGAGGCUUUUCCGCAAUUUGCACCUUAUAUAUAUAUUAUAUCUAGGGUUUUGCAAUGGAAACUCUAACCCUAGACCAUAGCCGCACCCCAGCCACUCCAUCUACCUCCCCUGCCCUUGCUGCGCCACCCCCGGCCGUCGCCGACUGAGCCCCGGCCGGCCAACCGCUGCCGCAGCCACCACAUUCCUCUCUCUCCAUCUCUCUCUCCAUCUCUAUCUCUUUUUCUCGAGUUGGGGGCAAGCCCGAGGUUGCUCUUCUCUCUGCCGCUUCCCCUAGAGUCCAAGUGUCCCUCCCAGCCGGUCGCCGCCGCCUGCCGCCGUCGCUGAGCGCGGCAGCCGCGUCGUUGCCACCCUGCAACCGGCUUGGCCGAGCUCAGGCCGAGCUUGGUUGCAUCAGCUGCCCGCGCCCCGCUACCGCCUGAGAUCGCUCCCGCCGCCGUCCCCGGGGUCUCGGCAACCUUCCCCGCCGGUCACCGCCGCCGCUGUGGGCCGCCGCCGCCGCCUCGGCCAUCCGCAGCCGCCCCAGACCCGCUCGGGCCAAGGCAAGCACACGACUCCUUCCCGGCGCCGCCGCCGCUCGGGGCCGCACCCGAGGUACCUCUCCGGCCUCCUGCAACCAUCCUUCGCCGUCCCGGAGCUCCUCGGCCGCCGCUGUGGCCGCCAUUGCCCGUGGAACCCGAGGCUUUGCACGUGCGGGCUGAGCUUGCUUCCCCGACGCCGCCGUCGCUCCCCGCCGCCAACUGAGGUGAGCAUCGUGUUCCUCACCUCCCCCGCAGCCAUCCCUGGCCGUCGCGCGCGCCGCCGUGCCGCCGGAAGCCGGCCGGAGCGAGCUUGCUUCGGCCAAGCCCGAAAUAGGGCUUAGUUUGGAUGGUUUACUGUUCCGAGCAACCCGAGCCUCCCCGAUCUCUGCGGAAGGGAGCACGAUGAUUGUAGCAAAUUUCUGAUCAUCGUGCUCACCUUAGUUUCUGUUGGGGAGACUCCGUUCCUCUGUUUCGGCGGUGUCGACCCUGUCGAGCCUUUUUGGCUGCUGUUUUGGGUUUGCGCACACUUAUCCGGAGAUUCGAGACUGUUCCGAUGCCUCCGGAGGUGAGCACGGUGAUCGUUGGUCAGUUCUGAUCACAGUACUCACCUUACUUUGGAUCAGAGGAUGUCGUAUCGGCCUNGUGUGCGAUUCCUCGAAUUGUUGCUCCAAAAAUCCAACCUUGUCUUUAUACGAUUUGAUCGUUGAUUCCGCUUCAUCAAGUUUCUCUUGGAGGAUCGAAUUAUUCUUCCAAAUCGAUUCCUUUUCCUCCUCGAGAGCACUAUUCAUGGUCUUCAAAUUUUUGUUUUCCUCUUCAAGUUCAAGUAGACGCUUCCUCAAUUUCUUAUUGUGCUUCGCCAUCUUUUUGGAUUCGACAAGGAGUUGAUGAUAAGCUUCCACUAAAUCCUCGGCGUUUGAUUCCUCCUCGCUUUCGCCAUUGACGCCUCAACUUCUUAUUGAGCUUGGUCAUCUUUUUCGAAUCAAUAAGAAGUUGGUUGUAUGCUUCCGCUAUAUCCUCGUUGUUUGAUUCCUCUUCGCUUUCACCGAUAUCGCUCGAAGUACUUUGCACGGAAGGAGAAAUACUAGAAUUAGAAACAAUUGAGGAUAAGCACAUAACAUUAGACGAAGGCAAAGAAUUAUUAGCAAGUAAAGCAAUAUGAUCAUCCUUUUCUUCGUCACUUGAAGAUGAUUCACUCGAAGUAGAAUCAUCCCAAGUUUUUGCUUGCAAAGCCUUUUGUCUAUAAGUCUUGUUAGAAGGACAAUCCAUCGCAAUGUGACCGUAGCCUUUACAUUUGUAGCAUUGGAUUUUCCCUUCAAAUUUAUCUUUUUCUUUCGAAGACUUUACAAAUUUCUUAUCCUUAGAUUUAGAAGAUGAAGAUGAUUUAGAAAAAGAUUGUUGCUUAGACGAUGAAGCCUUCUCCAAUUUAUUCUUGUUUCGGAAGUUCUGACGAAAUUUUUUCGUUAGGAGCGCUAAUUGAUGUUCAAAAUCGGCAAGCGAAACAUCUCCGUCGGAAUCCGAGUCGUCGUCUUCUUUCUUUGUCGAUUUGAGUGCAACCCCUGUACUUUUAGAAGAAGACUUGGAAAAAGAUAGGUUAGUAGGAAAAGUCAUCUCAUAUGUUUGUAAAGCGCCUACUAAUUCCUCUACUUUCAUCUCGUCCGGAUGCUUUACCGUUUCAAUCGCGGCAACCUUUGCCCGAAAACGUUCCGGAAGAGUCCGAAGAAUUUUUCUAACAACUUUAGCAUCCGGGAUUUUCUCUCCCAAGUUCGCACAAGUAUUAACAACAUCUUGAAGUCGCGUAUAGUACUCGGUAAAGGUCUCGUUUUAAUCCAUAGAAAUUGAAUCAAACUUGCUUGUUAGCAUUUGUAAUUUUUGGACCUUUACUAAGCUCGUUCCUUCAUGCGUAACUUGUAGAGUAUUCCAAAUCUCUUUGGCGGUAUUACACGCCAAAACGCGAGUGAACUCCGUUUGUGACAAUGCAUUAAAUAAAGCAUUUAUGCCCUUGCCAUUAAACGAAGAUGACUCGUUUUCGUCUUUCGUCCACUUGUUCCGCAGUUUAGGAACGGUAGCAUUAUCGACGACUUCACUAGAAUGCUUCCAACCGAAUUUGAUAGCUUGCCACACCCGCUCAUCGAUUGCGAUUAGAAAAGCUCUCAUGCGAACUUUCCUAUAGGCAUAAUUCGUGCCAUCGAAGAGUGGUGGUCGAUUAAUGUUACCGCCUUCGGCCAUUAGAUAACAAUUUAUUUAGAUCCCGCUCUGAUAAAAAUUGUAAGUUUUGGGGUUCCCAAGGAUCUAUCUAGAUUGUAUUAAACACCUAGAGGGGUGUGAAUAGGUGUAACGGCCAAAAAUCACAAAUCUCAAUGCGAUAAAAGUAAAUGCGGAAAAUAAAAAUCACACCAAGAUUUACGUAGGAAAACUCCAACUUGGAGUUAAAAACCCACGGGACCAACACGCGAAAAAAUAAUUCACUAAGAGAAAAGAUUACAAGGUGAUUAUCGACUUUACGGACUCGACCUCUCUUAACCUUCUAUGAAUCUCGCGCAAUCCUCUGGGUUGUCCACGCCUUCAAGUUCGAAUUCACGAAUGCCACGUUCCGAAUUCACGAAACGACACCAUUCCGAAUUCACGAAGCCUCGAUCACGCUGAAUCCACGACGCCCACUCGAAUUCACNNNNNNNNNNNNNNNNNNNNNNNNNUGGGACAAGGUGGAGCUUCACUCACCUUCCUCUCCUCUGGUUCCAGCACAAAAAAAGCCCUAAGGGGUGUGGGUGCUGUUAUAAAAAGCCCACAAUCGCGAAAAACCCCCUGCAGACCAAACUGCACAAAAACUGCCUCCUUGUAACGGUACACGGGCUCUUGUACCGGUACAAGGCCGACCAAAAUGCAAACCCGAGGCUCGGGUCGCGGGGUCUGCGGCUCUGUACCGGUACAAGCCCGAUGGCUGUACCGGUACAACCAUCAACCCUUGUACCGGUACAAGGCCAGUCUUGUUCCGGUACAAGCCCUGCUGCAGGUUGCCCGAGAGCUGUCCAAGAAUUCCGAUUUUGGAAUUUUGGUGCCAAGUCCCACUCCAACAUCCUCGGGAUGCGUGCCAGGGGUCGGAACACUAUCAACGACCUUCCAAAAACUGUGGGAAUGCUCCAAACACAGAUCAAACACUCGAAUCUUGCGAUUUGCUAAGAUCCAGUGUAUUACACACACUGUGUGUAUUCCUAGACACUAGGUCGGUUUCGCUACCGACCAGGGGUGUACUUAUCCAGAUGGGUCGUCAGUGGACGCGUGAAUCAGGUUAGUAUAUGUAUGCAUUGUGACAGGCAACAAUUAAGAUUUGCGGACCAAUAUGGUAGGCACUAGAUUGGGUUUGAUUUGGAUUAUUUACCUUUGAGCCAUCUGUUCAGUUGAAAUUUUGUUAUUAGUAGUGGUUUGGUUCUUGCCCAUUUACUAUCCUGUUUCUAUUACUACUGUAGUUGCUUUUCUAUUACGACAUAUACCUAUCUGUUGUUCUAUCUCCUUUGUUUUUCAGUGAAUACAAUUUGCCUUCGCGGCUGUCGUACCUACUGGAAAACCUUGUUGUGGUUUCUCACCCCCCCAUUUCCCGAGGUGGCACGAGCAAGGAGUUGGUUCUUGGUGCGAUGGGAGGAUGUCCUAGCUAGGCUGCAUUAGCGGUCGUCACCCUGAUUAUUUUUCUUUCCGCAUUUAGUAGUUUAAAUAAUGAAAUGGUUCAGUUAGAUGAUCAUUGUUAUUGCUUGAAUAAUCAUGAAAUUGUAUUGAAUUGGUGUUUUCUAUUAUGCAUGCAAUCGGAGUUUUAUGAAUUUUCAGCACGUGGAUUUAUGGAUUCACGCCUUGUGGUUUUCUACCUCUCGAGGUAGGCGGUUUUCAAAGAUUGAGUUUUCGUAUGGAAAACAGUUUUAAAAGGGUUAAGAAUGGUUUUUAUGGAUGAACAAUUAGAGUUUAAAAGAAAACAAAGCUUCCGGGUGGGGAGCAUUUUUAAAUAAGAUGAUUGUUGUAUUGUGCAGCACAUCAUCUAGUGCCUUAGGAGUGUUUAGAGACAUACAUAAUUUCUAAGAAAGGUUAGUUGUAUGGAGAUGCAUCGCAUUGAUUGUUUGUAGAUUGAUAAAUGUAGGUUGUAAGUUGUGAUCUUGUUGAUGUUGUUGUUGUGUACGCCAUGCAAAUAUAAAGGAAACUUUAUCCGUGUGGGCAAAGAAACAUGUAUUUGUGACGGGUCUGUAUGUCACAUGGGCCAGAUUAUUUCAAAAAAAAAAUUUUCGCUAAUUUGAUUUGUAAAAAAGACUAUUUUAGGCCCCGGGGCGUGAUAUCGAACCUGUGAAUCAAAAAUAUGAAGCGGCAAGAAAAAGUAAAAGAAGUUAGUCGAAAUAAAAAAAAUGAGUCAGGGAAGAAAAGAAAAGAGUUCGAGUGUACCGCCAUGGGGCACGGAGAAGCAACUGCUCCCUUGUUAGAGCCUUCACUUGAGGCCUCAUAUUUCUGGAGACUCAACCAUAAUCUCCUUACCCUCGGAAAUGCUGGUUAAAGCGAAGUAGAUUAAAUCAAGAUAAAUUAAGAAGGGAAAAUGCAAAAGAGAAGGAAUCUAAAAAUAGGAAAUACCUUCUACCUGAUCAAAAUCAAAGCGGCUGAGGCGAUUCAAAAAGGGCAAUGCGAACAACACUUGUUUACUAUCAAUUUUUUGACCUUUGGAUGCUUAGAAUUUUGUCGGGUUUGGUGCAAUAAUAACAAUUCAAUGGUAGAAAAAUUAAUAAUAAAUACUAUUUAUAUACUAUUGAUAAUAAUAGGUAAAACUCUUUAUAGAAUGUAUACAUUUUUAAAUGACAAAAAAAUAUGAAAAAAUAAAAUAGUUUUUCAUUUAUUUUUCAUAGAAAUCAAAUAAAUAGAACGCUAAAAAAUAUAUAUUUUUUCCUACCAAUUAAACAUCAAAAUUUGUAAAAUCAUAUUUUCACUGAAGAUAUAAUUUUUUUCAAAAAUAUUUUAUCAUAAUUUUAAAUAGGACCAAACAAAUCCACUAUAUUAGAUACACUUAAAUUAAUUAUAUAUUAUUAUUAUUAUGUAUGCCAUAUAGAAUAGUAGAGUGUGAGAAUCAAGAACUAUGAUAAUUUUAUAUUGAAGUAUUUGGUAAGAUAUUGGAUUUUUUUUUUAUAUUUAGCUCCAUCAAUUUUUUUUUAAAUGGUCCUAAUAAAUUUAUAUUUACAUAAAUAGUUUUCUCUUUAUCGUGCGAGCACCUAAAUGGCAUUUUUAAGUUGAACACGGCGAUUCAAUCACAGUAGUUAAACAUAAUAAUUGGAUCACCGUAUUUUUUUUUGUAUUUUUUUUAUUAUUCAUAAGUCAAAAAAAUGGACUAAGGUGUAAAUUUGAACACGGUGAUUUAAUCACGGUGUUUAACUUAAAAUUCUCAGUGAGACACUCACGUAAUAAUAAGAGGAUCAAUAUACAAAUAUAAAUUUAUUAGUGUCAUUUAUAAAAAAUAAUUUUUGAUGGGGUUAAAUGUAAAAAAAGUUCUAAGAAAUUAUUAUCUCCCGAUAAAAGGGUAUUGUUUUGCAUGGUUCAACUUUCAUUUUCCACCCACGUCUGUCUCGAGAAGUUUCCGACCGAGAAUAGAUCCAGAAACUUUUGUACCAACCCCCGCCGACUAAUAGUCUCCAGAAACGCCGAGGAGCAAACGGGUAGAGAGAGAAAGCUAUAUAUAUAUAUAUAUAUAUAUAUAUAGAGAGAGAGAGAGAGAGAGAGAGAAAGAGAGAGAGAGAGAGAGAGGGAAAAGGACAGAUAAUAGAGAAAGAGGAGAUGGCGGCGUCGGCGGAGGGAGAGGGUGCGAAGGCGAAGGCGAAGGCGAAGGCGAAGAGGUCGAUGGUGGCGAUCGACGAGAGUGAGUGCAGCAAUUACGCCCUCAGGUGGGCUCUCAGCAACCUCCGCGAAGCCAUCUCCUCUUCCCCUCUCGUCAUCUUCAACGCCCAGCCCUUCGCCACCGCCGGCUACAUGACCGCCGCAGCCUACGGGGCACCUCGUAAGCACGCAAUACAUAAACCGAC
rnacentral:lncRNA from 1 species